UACGAAGGGUGCAAGCGUUAAUCGGAAUUACCGGGCGUAAAGGGUGCGUAGGCGGUUGUUUAAGUCUGUCGUGAAAUCCCCGGGCUCAACCUGGGAAUGGCGAUGGAUACUGGGCAGCUAGAGUGUGUCAGAGGAUGGUGGAAUUCCCGGUGUAGCGGUGAAAUGCGUAGAGAUCGGGAGGAACAUCAGUGGCGAAGGCGGCCAUCUGGGACAACACUGACGCUGAAGCACGAAAGCGUGGGGAGCAAACAGG
rnacentral:rRNA from 1 species